CAGUAGCCGCGGGAAAACGUAGGGUGCAAGCGUUAAUCGGAAUUACUGGGCGUAAAGCGUGCGCAGGCGGUUUGUUAAGACAGAUGUGAAAUCCCCGGGCUUAACCUGGGAACUGCAUUUGUGACUGGCAAGCUAGAGUCUGGCAGAGGGGGGUGGAAUUCCGCGUGUAGCAGUGAAAUGCGUAGAUAUGCGGAGGAACACCGAUGGCGAAGGCAGCCCCCUGGGCCAACACUGACGCUCAUGCACGAAAGCGUGGGGAGCAAACAGGAUUAGAUACCCCUGUAGUCCCUGUCUCUUAUAC
rnacentral:rRNA from 1 species